UACGUAGGGGGCAAGCGUUGUCCGGAUUUAUUGGGCGUAAAGAGCGUGUAGGCGGCCAUACAGGUCCGUUGUGAAAACUGGAGGCUUAACCUCCAGACGUCGAUGGAAACCGUAUGGCUAGAGUCCGGAAGAGGAGACUGGAAUUCCUGGUGUAGCGGUGGAAGUGCGCAGAUAUCAGGAGGAACACCGGUGGCGAAGGCGGGUCUCUGGGCCGUAACUGACGCUGAGGAGCGAAAGCGUGGGGAGCGAACAGG
rnacentral:rRNA from 1 species